AUGCAUUAAUUUCGAGUAUAAACACUUUAAGAACAACCGAGAUUGGUAUAAAAAGCUAUGAUAAACUUUGUGAAAAAAAAAAAAGGCAAAUAAUGUUAGUGGUUCAUGUUGCAAAUCCCUUGAAGAAAGUGACGUAAACCAAACUACACAAAAACCUCCUCCAAUACAAGAUUUAUUAACCAUGGGAAAAAGCAAGACUCCCAAAAAUCUCUCAAUCUUUUGAAGAGAAAAACGAUUCUACAUAAAAGGAACCCCCAAAAAUCAGUUAGAUGCAGCACGAGUGAUGUAAUGGACAACUUGGUUCUAUUUUCGAUUACAAUAAGAAAAAGAAAUCGAGAAGGAAACAAAGAGAACCAUACACGGCUUCCACUUCAUCAAUUGAAUUUUUCAACUCGGUAAAAUAUUCUUCCUCGUGAUUCAGACACUUAACAACUCGGUACGAGAGGCAUCAAAUAUACUGUUGCAAGACAGCGAUCUGUUCCAAGAGGUGUCCGUAUUCAAUUUCUAAAAGUUUCGACAAGGAGGGGUCCAGACACCAUGACUCGCUCUGAGUUCUCAAACAAAGGAGGAUACUUCUUGAAGCUCUCAUCAAGGCCACCAAUGUUGACAUAGGUGUUAGAUUCUCCAAAAAAAAUUGGGCGAUUGAAGGCCUCUCCUCACAAAUUUUGAUAGUAUUUCUAUAACUCGAGAGGAUGGAUAGGAAAUUAAAUAGGGUUAUUGUCCUUAAUUGAAAUCCAAUUGGGGUUGUUGGGCAGAUAUAAAUAGGAUGAAGUUUGGUGAAGGACACCCAACCCCACAAAUCUCUGCCCUUUUCCUUUUCAAAUUGAUCUCUCUACCUUUCUCAACUAAGACACUUUAAAUAAUGAAUCCUAACUUUUUGUUUUUCUCUUUCUUUUUCUCUUUCACCUCUCAACAAAAAAAAAAAACAAAAAAUGCCCAACUUCCCCUCUCCUCCUUUCUCUUUUUCUAAUCCUCCCUUCCAAAUUCAACUUUUAAGUUAGGGUUCCAUUCGAAUGAUGUAUUUGAAGAGUAGUUGUCUCACAUUUAAAAAAAAAAAGAGAAGAAGAUAUAAUGUUUGUUGAGAGAUUGCAGUGUUCUUCUAAUUAUUAAGGUCUACGAGGAUUAUUCUAUGUAAUUGUCACAAUCUUUUACAUAGUCAAGUUUUUCGUGUCCUUCGUUUUUUUCUCUAAUUUAGUGCUUUUUCUCGCUCGUUAA